UCGUGGGUGAGCCAUCUGGACUCCCCUCUGGCUGACUUGGACUUCGGGGAGCCUGAAGGAGAUGACUCAGCCCCCACGUGAGACACAGCGAGGCUGCCUUUGUUCAAGGAGGGUGGCGGUGGCUGUGACUGUAACUUUCCCCUGACCCUCAGCGGUCCUUUCCUGCUCAUCCUUGUCCACACUCCGCCCGCCUGUGGGCAGGGAGGUGGGGAUUCUCUGGACUUCUACUUCUGUGCACAAGGUGAAUUUGGCAUUCAUUUUGUCAGCUGUGUGUGUCUGUAAAAUGCUUUGAGAACUCACCAGCUCGCCCACACCGCAGUAUUCUUUUAGAGCAGGAGUGUCUGGUAAAAGUGGGGUGGGCAGGUAGGAGUCAAUCUAUACCAGCUAUCUAUUGCACAUCUGUCGUAUAUACAAGAGAUGAUGCUGGAGCCCUGUCUAGAUUCCCCGUUGGGGGUCCAGGCACUCAUCCCACAGCUGCUGUGUUGUGGUGGCUACAGAUGUCAGUUGCUACUCUUGGGGCAGGAGGUUGCCUGGCUACUGGGCUUCUCUGUCAGCAGUGGCCCCCGUGUGGUGGCCCCAGGCCAUGUUGACCGCUAUAAGUCCUCACCUCAGGUGUGGUGUGAAGAUCAAGGUCAGCAUUGCCCUAACCACUUCCUGGCUCAGCACCUUCCAUCCUUGGGUCCCUGGCUUCCUCCACUCCCUCGGGCCACGCCUCCCGCGCUGGCUGAGAUGCCCUCUUGGACACUGAGCUGCAGGUGUUGCGGGAGCUGCCACAGUGUUGAAGAUGUGAUUUUUCCUCGGCCCUUUACAGAGGCCUGGCAUGAGCAAGUGAAAAUUACAAGAAAAGAAGCAAGUAACCAUGGUGAUCAUGUGGGACCAGAAAAUAGGUGAUCCAGGGCAGCUCACAGAGGACUUUUAUUUGAUCCUCACUCUUGGUACAAAGCAGAAGCUCUCACAGCCUGUGAACAUCGUGACACAGCUGACAACUGUCCAGCAGGAGGGACAGAUGAGCCAGGCCUGCUGCAGCCUGCAGCCACCAGUGAGCGCCCAGGCUGCGGGUGAGCUGAGGCGAACUAUUGUGUCUGCUCUGGAAUAAAAUGACUGACCAGGACAAUGGAAGCUUGCUCUGAAGGGAACAAUUUAUUUAAAAAUAAACUUUUGUCUGGAAAGAAAAGAAGAGCACACCACUCGUGUUUCCAGGGACUGCUUGAUAAAACCUCGAGUUCCAGAUGAAGGCUGGGAGACUGGGCCCAAAGGGAGGGGACAGUGUCUGCGGCCCUGCGGCCUUCAGGGUCAGCCACGUUCUACCAGGCCUGCGGUGACAGGCACCAGCUGGCUGGCCAGCAACCGGCCGAAGAGACAACAGCAGAGUGCUGUGGGCCCACGAGGGCGCCUUCCACUGAGGGUUUUCUGUGGCGUAAUCCAGGCCAUCUCUGAAACACCAGCAUCCUACUGCUCAUCCCUCAGAACAACACCACGAGGUAAAGACCAUUUUUAAUCAUCUGCGUCACACAGGUAAAAUACAAAGAGCCUGCGACAGUGUGUUUUUAGGAGUGAAUAGGUAAAUAAACAGCAGUAGAUCCAGACAAGGGAAUGCUACACCGUGCUAAAAGGACUGUUAAGCUGCACACAGACACAGAGGGACUUUCAUCCGAGGCCAAUGCAGAAAACAGGCUGUAGAACUCUAGCUAUAUGGCUCUCUGGAAAAAGCAAAAAGGAGCCAGUAAUAAGCUCAGUAGUCUGCAGGGGGUGGGGGUGAUUAGAUGCUACAAGUUUUAAGACAGUGAGACUAUUUUUGUGUCCCUGUAAUGGAGGAUACAUGUCAUUUUGCUUCUGUCAAAACCCACAGAAUGUCCCUCAAAACUGAACCCAAAUGUACACUAUGGGUUUCCAGUGAGUGCCUGUCCUUUGUGCUCUCUCUGCCACACCUCCCAUCAUCCUUUACACUUCCCACAAUCCUUUACACUUCCCACAAUCCUUCACACUUUGCCCACCUUGUCCCACUUAGUAGAUCUUUGUCAGAUGAGUACAUGCAGACACUUCCUCCUGCUCACUUAGCAGUGGGCAUUUCAUGUAACCCCAGGGUUACAUGAAAUCAGGAUUGGGCCAAACCACUUAUGGCAAACCUAUUUCCCUGUGCUGUGAUUGGCUUAAGAGUGUGUGUGUGGCCCAGUUCUGGCCAAGAAAACAUAAUAUUUAGCUAGAAUGCACUAGAGUGGAGUAUUAGUUGUUAAAAUUUUGAAACUUUAGUACAGGGGAUAAAUAUUAUCUCUCCUCCCCUCCCCUGGGCCAAGAUCCCCUGCAUCUUCCCACAACUCAGCAUCUACAAGUUUCUGUCCGGGAUAAAAUGAAGCCUCCAAGACAGCAGCUGACCUGUUCUCAUUCUUGAGCCCACACCAUGCUGGUUGUCAAAUAUCUUAAACUCUACCACCCACUGAGCAAUGGGAAGUCAACAGGAAAGACUCUAAGAAAAAAAAUUUCCCCCAAUAAAAAAACAGCCGAAGCUCAGUUUUUUGCUUGUUCCCCUUUCUUCCUGGUCUAACACUUGUAUGGCACUGUGGCAGCCAUCUUGCUAUCAUGAGGCAACAAGGCAACACAUGGAUUAAUAGAACCUGAGUCCUAAAUCACAUUCAUGAGCUACACUGCACCAAACCUGAUGCUGUUCUUUCUACUAGAUAUUUCAUUACAUGAGCCGAUUAAAUAUUUUUCAUAAAAGCACUGAUUACUUUUUCUUUUAGUUGCAGCUGUAUCCUGAUGAUACAGACUUAGCUUCAAAAGGCUAAAUAAUUAUUUGUGCUCACUCUGCCCUUUUCGUUAAGCUUAGAGAAAGGUUUUUUGUUUGUUACUCUACUUUUUUGGGUACCAAAGUUUGGGAAGCUUAAAGAACUUACUCAAGCUCAUGAACCUAGCAAGUGGAAAAGCCAGAAUGAAACCCAGGUCAGGCCUGGACCAGAAUAUCAAGGGUGUGGUUCUCAGCCUUUGUAUCAGUCCUCACCAACGCUGUUGCUCAUGGUGCCUGCGUCAACAGCCCACCUCACUCUAAGAAAAUAGCUGAUGUUGUAAAGAGAGAAGCAUUUGGGUCCGAGUUCUGCAGGUUCGAGGCGGCCUUGCAGGUUUAUGCUGGCCAGCGCGGCAUGUCAGAGCAGGAGCCCAAGUCAGCAUAAGUCCUCACGCCCCAGAUAGGGGGAGAGGGAGAGUGGUGUCACCUCGUCUCCUCUGAGAGCAGACCCCAGUGACCUAAGGACUUUUAUGGGGGUAGGGGAGCUGCAGAUUAGACAGACACAGGGCCUUCACACACUAAUCCCCCGCACCACCUUUUUUUUUUUUUAACUUUUUGAGACAGGGUUUCAUAAAGUCACUAACUGCCCAGGCCAGGCUGGAAUUUGAAAUCCUCCUGCCUCAGCCUCCCAGAGUGCUGGGAUUACAGGUGUGCACCACCUCAAUGUUCCACAGCACUUAGAACCGCCAUCCUGUGGAAUGAGCUUUAAUGCAGAGCUUACUGAAGGACACCGAGGACAUCUAACUACUCCAGGCCGGAGCACCUAGAUUCCGAACGUCCAGAGCGGACCCUCUGUCCACUAACUCACCAAAACCUUGGCUCCAACUGUUUCUAAGUUUCUUACACAGACGGAUUUCACCACUCAUCACCCGGCCUUGCGACACUAUUGGAAAAGUGUAGCAGAGUGACAGAGGAGGUCACUGCUGCCCACGGCCUCCAUUCCAAUCCCAGUUUUGCCACACUGUGUGACCCAACACUUGGCCUCAGUUUCUCCAUCUGUAAAAUGAGGGUAUGAACACUGGGGUCGGGGAGGCAUGGCACAGAGUGCCAUGUAAAUUAGUCUUCAAAUGAUGUCUGCCGUACUUGGGGGGGACCCUUAGUUCUACAUCCUGGGAUAUGAUGGCAAAAUCCACAUCACCUCUGUUAGCUGGUCAAUGAUUUUGUAGAGUUGACUAAAUCAUUCCUCCUGGGACCACCGGACUCCACCCACAAAGAUUCCUCCUCCUUUCAAAUGUCCUCCCUCCUUUCCCCCUUCCCUCCCUCCCUCCCUCCUUUUCUCUCUUUCUUCUUGACAUAAGUCUUGCUAUUAGUUCAGGCUGGCCCUAAACUCACUGUAUACAGCCCAAGCUGACCUCAAACUCAUGAUGAUCCUCCUGCUUCAGCCUCCCAAGUGCUGGUAUGCAACACCACACCCAGCUGUGUACUGUCUUUUAAAGAAACAACAACAACAAAAAUCCCUACCAAGUUUCCCAGGGCCAUUUCUCUCCAUCCUUCCCCAGAGGAAACCUCUUCCCUAAAGGCUAUCACCUUCAUUUGCAUGUUUGUUUAUAUUUGUAAUGAUUCUGUAAAUAAUAGAUGUUUUAGAGUUAUGCCUGA